rnacentral:lncRNA from 1 species
CUUCUCUUUGCUGGCUUCACUCCUGUCCCGGUGAUCAAUGGGCUCUGGUUGGGCUGGAAAGCAGCACAAAGAGAGGCAUUUACAGCCCUGCUGUCUCUCCAACAGGGCUGUAACUCAGGCUCCCGGUCACCGUGGGGAAUGGGAGGCAGGAGCUCCUGCUUUGGUGGCAGCAGCAGCACCGACAUUUUUCCUCUUGUGGUAAAUGUGUUACUUGGGGGUAAUUUACCUGCUUAUGUCAAGUUUUGAAAAGAAACAGACUGGCUGCUGAGCAGCUCCUGACACUUGCAGUGUGCAUGGCAUGAACACACAUGUCUACACAGAGAAAAGGAAUCACCCAAGCUGGAAGGACCUGUUUGCAAAUGCCUGCACUGGCGCUGCAGUCUCGGCGUGGAGUCAGUUUAGGACUGAGGCUGAGAUCUUGCCACAGUCCAUCCCUCCGGGGGAUCUCCAGGGUCUGCAGCCACCUACUGGUCCUGGGUCUCAGCCCUGCUGUUUCAUUGCCUCUGUGUGGCACAGCCCUUGUCCCUCCCUGGGACACAGUGCUCCUCUUCACCCUGAGGAGCUGCUGGUGGGACAGCCAGGUCCCCAGGAGCCUGUCUGGAUGUGAUGGGAGAUGCUCUGGUCAGUGGUACCAAGCCUGGAGAAGGGCGCCUUGCUGGGGGAAACUGAACACGCAUGGACUGAUGGUUUCGUGA